rnacentral:sRNA from 1 species
UCCCAAGCUUUUCUUGAUAUAUUAUAAACAUUGUCCAGAACUGUUCAGAAUGUACAUGUUUAUAUUUUUCGAGAUAUUAAGGAAAGAAUAUAUUGGGAUCCUUAAACAUUAUAUAGAGGUCAUUCUUAGAAAACAUUAACUGUAAUUUAUAAUGUCAGUGAUUUUUUUUUAGAAAUUUAGAAAUUUCAUGGAAAUCAAUCAAGUUCAUUUGUUCUUUUUGGUUAUUUUUUUUUUUUUGAAUAAUUUUACAAUUUAGACGGAAGACCCUAUUUAAAAGUAUUUGUUUCAGUAUGUUUGCGUCUCUGCAUAUUAAAUCUUGUACACUGUCAUAGACUUUCAAAAUAAAACUGUUGUGCACCUAC